rnacentral:tRNA from 1 species
GCUUAGAAAGCUUUAGCAGUGAUUUUGUAAGUCAUAGAUUGAAAAUUUUUCUCUAAGCU